GGAAGGGUGCCGGAGUGGUCUAACGGAGCGGUCUCGAAAACCGCGCCCUCUUUGAGGGCUCGUGGGUUCGAAUCCCACCCCUUCCG
rfam:Parcubacteria bacterium GW2011_GWA2_52_8 TY73_C0042, whole genome shotgun sequence.